rnacentral:rRNA from 1 species
UUAGAAGAGACAGAUAAGAGCCGUUUGCCUUAUCUGCCAAUAGUAUUAUUCCACAAGGUUAAAAACAUCUUGUGUACCUUUUUGUACACAAAUGCCAAUGCUUUGUGGAAAGGGACUUGUGUACCUAUUUCGUAAGACAAUUGUAGGCAAGCCAUACUGCAAGCGCUAUUUGCAGUAUGAUGAUUGUCGGCACACCAAUAUAGCAUUUCUUGUGCAUCGUCUUGUGAUGAAAAAUUCUCAUUCCAAGCCAUGCACCGAUGCUGCCACCAAAGACCGCCAUCAAUAAGAGCGUCGCUUCAGGAAUACGCCACUUCCCUUUUAUAGCCUUAUACUUGUCAAUGCCGUAGAUCAUAAACGUCACGACAUUGACAAGCAAUAAACAACCUGUUAUAAUUUGUGCCCAAUUCAUUUGCCGAACAUCUUCUUGAUUCCUACAUCACUCAUCUGAGUUGUGGGAUUAUUUCUCUGCAAGGUCUUGAUACAUAGCAUUGCCAUCCUCAUACAUGUCGGCCAUGGCAUCUGCAAAGCCAUAACCACAUCCGUCCGACCAUUCAACGCACUGUUGAAGCCUUUGAGAAUAUUUUUCCCACAAUCCAUUAGUGACAAUGAACUUAAUGGUCUUAUCAAAGUUGUUUUCAACAGAGUCGUAAUAGGGCGUGAUAGUCGGAGUGAGUAGACGCGAAACCAAGUGAUCUACCCUUGGUCAGGAUGAAGGUUGGGUAACACCAACUGGAGGUCCGAAUGGGUAUACGUUGAAAAGUGUUCCAAUGAACUGAGGGUAGGGGUGAAAGGCUAAUCAAACUUGGAGAUAGCUCGUACUCCCCGAAAUGCAUUUAGGUGCAGCCUUUAUUUAGUAUAGCAUGAGGUAGAGCGACUGAUUGGAUGCGAGGGCUUCACCGCCUAUCAAGUCCAGAUAAACUCCGAAUGCGUGCUAUAUAUUGAUAAGGAGUGAGGGCGCGGGUGCUAAGGUCCGCGUCCGAGAGGAGAAGAAUCCAGACCAUCAGCUAAGGUCCCCAAAUAACAGUUAAGUUGAACUAACGAAGUCGGACUGCAGAGACAGCUAGGAUGUUGGCUUGGAAGCAGCCAUUCAUUUAAAGAGUGCGUAACAGCUCACUAGUCGAGGAGUCCGGCGUGGAUAAUACUCGGGCAUAAACUGUUUACCGAAGCUAUGGAUGUAGAAAUACAUGGUAGGGGAGCAUUCCAACGGCGUCGAAGGUGAAGGAUGACCUUUGCUGGAGCUUUUGGAAACGCAAAUGUAGGUAUAAGUAACGAUAAAGGAGGUGAGAAACCUCCUCGCCGAAAGACUAAGGUUUCCUGAUCAACGUUAAUCGGAUCAGGGUAAGUCGGGACCUAAGGUUAAGCCGAACGGCGAUACCGAUGGAAGAAUGGUUUAAUAUUCCCAUACUACUUUAUGGAGCGAUGUGGAGACGGAGAAGUGAAAGUCCUGCCAUCUGACGGAAUAGGUGGUUGAAGAGUGUAGAUGUAGAUUCCUGUAGGCAAAUCCGCAGGGAGAGUCGACCUUGACAGUAUGCCGCGUGCUUGCACAAGGCAAAAUGGACGUAAUCAGGCUCCCAAGAAAAUCCGCUAAGCAUAUUCAUAAAGUACCCGUACCGUAAACGGACACACGUAGUUGGGUUGAAAAUACUGAGGCGCUCGAGUGAUUCACGGUUAAGGAACUAGGCAAAUUGACCCUGUAACUUCGGGAUAAAGGGUCCCUACUGAGAGGUAGGGCGCAGAGAAUAGGUCCAGGCAACUGUUUAACAAAAACACAUGGCUGUGCGAAAUAGAAAUAUGAAGUAUACAGCCUGACACCUGCCCGGUGCUGGAAGGUUAAGAGGAGAGCUCAUCGCAAGAGAAGGCUUGAAUUGAAGCCCCAGUAAACGGCGGCCGUAACUAUAACGGUCCUAAGGUAGCGAAAUUCCUUGUCGGGUAAGUUCCGACCUGCACGA